rnacentral:rRNA from 1 species
UGGGUAACCUGCCUCAAAGAGGGGAAUAGCCUCCCGAAAGGGAGAUUAAUACCGCAUAAUAUGUUUAGGUCGCAUGACUUUAACAUCAAAGGAUUUUCUUUUAGAAAUUUCCACUUUGAGAUGGACCCGCGGCGCAUUAGCUAGUUGGCGAGGUAACGGCUCACCAAGGCAACGAUGCGUAGCCGACCUGAGAGGGUGAUCGGCCACAUUGGAACUGAGACACGGUCCAGACUCCGUACGGGAGCAG